GAUGAAGAACGUAGCGAAAUGCGAUAAGUAAUGUGAAUUGCAGAAUUCAGUGAAUCAUCGAGUCUUUGAACGCACAUUGCGCCCCCUGGUAUUCCGGGGGGCAUGCCUGUCCGAGCGUCAUUGCUGCCCUCAAGCACGGCUUGUGUGUUGGGCCGUCGUCCCCCUCCUAGGGGACGGGCCCGAAAGGCAGCGGCGGCACCGCGUCCGGUCCUCGAGCGUAUGGGGCUUCGUCACCCGCUCCGUAGGCCCGGCCGGCGCUUGCCGACGACCAUCAAUCUCUUUCUCCAGGUUGACCUCGGAUCAGGUAGGGAUACCCGCUGAACUUAAGCAUAUCAAUAAUCGGAGGA
rnacentral:misc_RNA from 1 species